GGGUGGGGACAGUGAUGUCAUAAUGGAACCUCAGGGUAAAACAAGAGAUUGAAAAGCUUCCCAAGGCGCCAACCUUCAAGAUUUAAAGGGAAGUAGGGCUGAUUUAGCUCUGUUCUGGUUCUGUUUCUGCUCAGCAUUCUCAGGUCUAAGAUUCCUGGGUUGGCUUCUGAGAGGGAGGAGACAGCCACCACAGCAAGAACAGCACCAGGAGUUUUAGAUUAAAAAUGGAAAGCAGAGAGUAGGGGAUGAGGCCUGUGGGCUGAGGACUGCCUGGCUCAGAACGGUGGAGGGAGAAGGUCAAGAGGAGGAGGGGAGCCAUCAGAGCUAACUGCCCGUCACCUGCUUGCCUUCAGAAGAUGUGCCUUCCGGGACCUGGUGGAGAGCAGAUGCCAGUGAGGUGCCUGUGGAGAGAAGGAAGCGUUUUCAUGUUCAGCCACACUUCUGCGGUCAUGCAAUUGGGUAACAGGGAAGAGGAAGAUGAUGAUGGCGGUGGUGGGGCUCCCUGUGAGUCUUGACCUGAACACUUUACCGUUGACCUUGCCUCUGGAACCUUCCCUGGUGGGGGCUCAUCAGGGCUGACAGGUUUGUGCUGGUCUCUGAGUGAGGCAACAGUGAAGCAAGACUUAAAUUUUGCUUUCAAGUUCUAUUUCUAGGGGUCCUCUGGGAGUGAUUUGUGUCCUUGGUUUCCUAGGACCUUCAGCAUGUAGGAGAUGGCUCAUGGGGCAGGAGU
rnacentral:lncRNA from 1 species